rnacentral:rRNA from 1 species
GAUUUCUGGCACGAUGCGCCUGGCCCGCCACGGUUUCGUGUGUGAGUGCCGGGUGUUCAUCUGCCAUCCUUCCAGAGAACGUUCCUACCCUUCACUGGGCCGGGGACGAGAUCUGGAUCGUUUACUUUGAAAAAAUUAGAGUGUUUAAAGCAGGCUUUUGCUAUGAAUACAUUAGCAUGGAAUAAUAAUCUAGGACUUCGGUUCUAUUUUGUUGGUUUCUAUAACUGAAGUAAUGAUUGAUAGGGAUAGUUGGGGGUGCUAGUAUUGGCCGGCCAGAGGUGAAAUUCUUGGAUUCGGUCAAGACUAACUUAUGCGAAAGCAUU